rnacentral:rRNA from 1 species
CUGGCUCAGAUUGAACGCUGGCGGCAGGCCUAACACAUGCAAGUCGGACGGUAGCACAGAGAGCUUGCUCUCGGGUGACGAGUGGCGGACGGGUGAGUAAUGUCUGGGGAUCUGCCCGAUAGAGGGGGAUAACCACUGGAAACGGUGGCUAAUACCGCAUAACGUCGCAAGACCAAAGAGGGGGACCUUCGGGCCUCUCACUAUCGGAUGAACCCAGAUGGGAUUAGCUAGUAGGCGGGGUAAUGGCCCACCUAGGCGACGAUCCCUAGCUGGUCUGAGAGGAUGACCAGCCACACUGGAACUGAGACACGGUCCAGACUCCUACGGGAGGCAGCAGUGGGGAAUAUUGCACAAUGGGCGCAAGCCUGAUGCAGCCAUGCCGCGUGUAUGAAGAAGGCCUUCGGGUUGUAAAGUACUUUCAGCGGGGAGGAAGGCGACGGGGUUAAUAACCCUGUCGAUUGACGUUACCCGCAGAAGAAGCACCGGCUAACUCCGUGCCAGCAGCCGCGGUAAUACGGAGGGUGCAAGCGUUAAUCGGAAUUACUGGGCGUAAAGCGCACGCAGGCGGUCUGUUAAGUCAGAUGUGAAAUCCCCGGGCUUAACCUGGGAACUGCAUUUGAAACUGGCAGGCUUGAGUCUUGUAGAGGGGGGUAGAAUUCCAGGUGUAGCGGUGAAAUGCGUAGAGAUCUGGAGGAAUACCGGUGGCGAAGGCGGCCCCCUGGACAAAGACUGACGCUCAGGUGCGAAAGC